UGGGGAUGACGUCAAAUCAUCAUGCCCCUUAUGACCUGGGCUACACACGUGCUACAAUGGGCGGUACAAAGGGUCGCGAACCCGCGAGGGGGAGCCAAUCCCAAAAAGCCGCUCUCAGUUCGGAUUGCAGGCUGCAACUCGCCUGCAUGAAGCCGGAAUCGCUAGUAAUCGCGGAUCAGCAUGCCGCGGUCGAAUUACGGUUCCGGCCUU
rnacentral:rRNA from 1 species